GUACACUCCUGCGGGAGGCAGCAGUGGGGAAUUUUGAACAAUGGUCGAAAGCCUGAUCCAGCAAUGCCGCGUGAGUGAAGAAGGCCUUCGGGUUGUAAAGCUCUUUUGUCAGGGAAGAAACGGUGAGAGCUAAUAUCUUUUGCUAAUGACGGUACCUGAAGAAUAAGCACCGGCUAACUACGUGCCAGCAGCCGCGGUAAUACGUAGGGUGCAAGCGGUAAUCGGAAUUACUGGGCGUAAAGCGUGCGCAGGCGGUUUUGUAAGUCUGAUGUGAAAUCCCCGGGCUCAACCUGGGAAUUGCAUUGGAGACUGCAAGGCUAGAAUCUGGCAGAGGGGGGUAGAAUUCCACGUGUAGCAGUGAAAUGCGUAGAUAUGUGGAGGAACACCGAUGGCGAAGGCAGCCCCCUGGGUCAAGAUUGACGCUCAUGCACGAAAGCGUGGGGAGCAAACAGGAUUAGAUACCCGAGUAGUCCC
rnacentral:rRNA from 1 species